rnacentral:lncRNA from 1 species
UGGAAUGGGGAUCAUCUGACCCACAGUCAAACAAGAUUUGGACAGAAGAAGUCACAUCAGGGAGACCAGAGACUAGAGUAUUGCAUCAUAGAGGAAAGACACUGAUGACAAGACCUCAGGGGAGCAGUGGAACUGGAGGCCUGGGAGCUUGGGAUGUGUUCUCCGAGUGAAGUUGGCCGGCCAGCUGAUGACCUACACCAGUGGCAUUCACUCCUCAUGUGUCCCCCAGGAAUUCAUAGUGUGUGUCAUCAGGUAAAAGCAACACUACUUUCAGAUGUUUUCUGAUCUCUUUGAGAUCUGGACAACACUACUGUGUACAUAUGGCCAGCAACAAAUUACACUCAAUGAAUAUUUUAGAGAGCAGCAAAGUAAUCAAUUAAAA